ACGUCCACUCAAUGUGCAGCUGCCAUCAAAAAAGCAAACAAUGUUAGGAACCAUUAGGAAACGGAGAGAUAAUAAGACCGAAAAUAUCAUAUUGCCUCUAUAUAAAUCCAUGGUACGCCCACGUCUUGAACACUGGGUGCAGUUCUGGGCACCCCAACUCAAAACAGAUACACUGGAAUUAGAAAAGGUAUAGAAAAGGGCAACAACAAUGAUUAGGGGCAUGGAACAGCUGUUGUAUGAGGAGAGAUUAGUAAGACUGGGGCUGUCCAGCUUCGAAAAGAGAUAGAGGGCUAUAAAAUCAUGGCUGGUGUGGAGAAAGUUAGUUUUAUUUAUUCCUCGUAACACAAGAGCUCUGGAUCACCCAAUGACAUAAAUCGGCAGCAGGUUUAAAAGAAACACAAGGAAGUAUUUCUUCACCCAACGCCCGGACAGCCUGGGGAACUCUGUGCCAGGGGAUGUUGUGAGGGCCAAAACUAUAAUGGGGUUCAACAAAGAACUAGCUUAGUUCCUGGAGGAGGGAUCCAUCACUGGCUAUUAGCCAGGCUGGGCAGGGACACAGCCCCCUGUUCUGAGUGUGCCUAGCCUCU